CAAUGGCACGCGUUAGUGUUCUAUUAAUAAAGUGCCUCGUGACAUGUUUGUUGAGGGCGCUACAUGCUCACAACAGCGUGGUGUAGCGUGUCCACGACAGGGCUUGGGUGUGCAUUGGUAGCAAGGCUGCAGGGUGUUUGUUGUGGCUUAGGUCUGCCUUAGUGUGUCUCGGCUUCUCCUCACUGAGCGGUGGCGCAGAUGCAAGCCAAGGUGUCACGAGCCGCGGUGUUGACGAUCCAAAGACCUGACUCGAAGCGAAAAUGCGUCCCCUCUACUAUCAAGGAGAGACUCUACUUUGCACUACGCCUUCAUUGACAACGCCCACUAUCAACACCUCUGCCUCGCUACCGACCAACAUCAGGGAAGGACUGUCUUGCAUCGCGCCCACACACACUACGUACUCUUAACGUCGCCGCUGAGAAAUGGUGAUCCAAGGCCUGAGUGCAGCGAUCCCGUGACUCCUGCACCAUCAGGGAGGGACUCAGGCUUCGCAUGGCCUUCACUGACACCCAACACCACCACCGCCGCCGCUGAGGGACUGCCUCGCGGCGCACCCCAGCGGCCCGGCAAACGCCUACCACCACCACUUCAACCGCCGCCGCCGUCGUCCAGCGAGAGAUUCUGCUUCGCAUCGCACAUUCUGCCCCUCAACACCUGCCGCCGCCGUCCCCGCCCGCCACCACCAGCAAGCAUUCUGCACGGCACCUUGAUCCUGCGCGGCCAUCACCUACUGGUGGUGCUGGUGGCCGUGGAGGGGGAGUUGUGGGUCGACUUGGCAGUCAGUCGUCCCUCACUCAUUGUGGGUGGUGUAUGUACUUGGACAGAUGUGGUGUGUUGUGGUGCCAUUACUCCAUUGUAAUAAACUGUCUUCACUGCCUCAUUGUGUUGUCACUGUACUAUGAACUGUUUUGUCACUACUGAAUAAUAAAUUGUGAAGAAAU
rnacentral:lncRNA from 1 species